rnacentral:rRNA from 1 species
AUGGACAUGGAAGGGGAUCCAUCACAUCACAUCACAGGAUCGAUUGGGCACGAUCUCAGACGACAGGUUGAGGAAGGUGCGGAGGAACUCAAUGUCGUUGUUGGCCAGGUACCAGUAGUAGUGCUGCCACGAGAAGGUCUCCCUGACGUACUCCUUGGACUUGAAGCUCUGCAUGAGCUUGAUGACCUCGAGGUUCAAGGCAUCGACCUGGGGGUGCUUGGCCAGGUUGUAGUCCUUCUUGGCGUACAAGACUCCCUCUGCACAAGCAUCACAAUAGAUUCAUCAAUAAAAUCAUUCAGUCCGUCCAAAGGAGUGGCAUUCUUGCACACAUAA